rnacentral:rRNA from 1 species
AGGGCACCACCAGGAGKGGAGCCKGCGGCUUAWUUUGACUCAACACGGGAAAACUCACCCGGCCCGGACACUGGAAGGAUUGACAGAUUGAGAGCUCUUUCUUGAUUCAGKGGGKGGKGGUGCAUGGCCGUUCUUAGUUGGKGGAGUGAUUUGUCUGGUUAAUUCCRAUAACGAACGAGACUCUAGCCUACUAAAUAGAUCGUCGGCUUACAAACGCCGGCGAGACUUCUUAGAGGGACAGGCGGUGAUUCAACCGCACGAAACARAGCAAUAACAGGUCUGUGAUGCCCUUAGAUGUCCGGGGCCGCACGCGCGCUACACUGAAGUGAUCAGCGUGCUUUUUCAACCUACUCUGUCAAGAGUGGGGAACCCAAUGAACCUUCUUCGUGAUUGGGAUAGGGGAUUGUAAUUGUUCCCCUUGAACGAGGAAUUCCCAGUAAGCGCGAGUCAUAAGCUCGCGUUGAUUACGUCCCUGCCCUUUGUACACACCGCCCGUCGCUACUACCGAUUGAAUGUUUU